AUUGAACGCUGGCGGCAGGCCUAACACAUGCAAGUCGAGCGGAUGAAGGGAGCUUGCUCCUGGAUUCAGCGGCGGACGGGUGAGUAAUGCCUAGGAAUCUGCCUGGUAGUGGGGGAUAACGUCCGGAAACGGGCGCUAAUACCGCAUACGUCCUGAGGGAGAAAGUGGGGGAUCUUCGGACCUCACGCUAUCAGAUGAGCCUAGGUCGGAUUAGCUAGUUGGUGGGGUAAAGGCCUACCAAGGCGACGAUCCGUAACUGGUCUGAGAGGAUGAUCAGUCAAAUGGAAAUGGAACCAGGGCCCAUACCCCGGCGGUAGGGACAAGGGGGAAAUUGGGGACAAGGGGGGAAACUUUGACCCACCCGUCGGGGGGGGGGGAAGAGGGUGUGGGGAUUGAAAGCCCUUUUAUGGGGGGGGAAAGGGCAGUAAUUUAAUACCUUGCUUUUUGGACGUAACAAAAAAAAAAAGCACCGGCUAACUUCGUG
rnacentral:rRNA from 1 species